rnacentral:rRNA from 1 species
UACGAAGGGAGCUAGCGUUGUUCGGAAUCACUGGGCGUAAAGCGCACGUAGGCGGAUGUGUCAGUCAGGGGUGAAAUCCCGGAGCUCAACUUCGGAACUGCCCUUGAUACAGCACGUCUUGAGUCCGGAAGAGGUGGGUGGAAUUCCUAGUGUAGAGGUGAAAUUCGUAGAUAUUAGGAAGAACACCGGUGGCGAAGGCGGCCAUCUGGCUCGGUACUGACGCUCAGGCGCGAAAGCGUGGGGAGCAAACAGG